CUCGACAGCAAAGGUGGUGUUACACAUCAUGGCUUUGGUAUUUGGUGCUUGGAGCAAAGACUUGCAAGACCAGGAAAAGAAAAUCACCUACGAUGUGAAGGUUUCACCGUGUGGUCUGCCAGCAGGCUUGUGUGUUUAGUGAAAAAGGGAAUGCAUAGCACCAGAGGACACUGUAGGUGCUAAGGGUGUGCUCCGACGUUCAUACCGAGCAACUCCUCUUCAGUGAUACAGUGAGGCACUACUUUAUGAAACUUGCCAUCAGAUUGCAUAAAUACCCUGACAACUCAUAGCGACACUGAAGCGGGCAUUCCUGGAACACGCUGCAGCAGUGGAGCCAAGUAGUUAAUCAGGUGUAACAUGAGGCUUUGACAUGAUUUACUGCCUGCUGGUAGCUCAUUCUGGGGCUGUAUUGUCCUUCUGUAUGUACUGUAUAAUAGUUUUAAGCUGUCCUUGGACAGGGCCCUAUUGUAAACAAGCUGUCUGGCUUAACUGGGAUAUCCUGUAAAAAUAUGUUAAUAAAAACUGAAAUCAUUGUAAAGGAUCCUAUUCCUACUAUUUCUGCUUCUCGAGCUAUUCCCACCAGUGAUGUACAGCACAUGCUCUUAACUCUUGCAGUGCUGGUGCUUGACUGAAGCCUGGUAGUUUUGCAGGACUUGGUUUGAAGUGGAUCCAUUUUCUCACACCAUCUCAGCCUGCUCCUGUGCACGAGGGCUGCACAAUGCAGAAACGAGCACUGAAAUAAAGCUUAUUUUCAAGGUGUCAAUUUUAUGUAGGUUGCUCCAAAAUAAAUGCCUCCUAUUUAGUUCCGUGGAAACAGCAAG